rnacentral:rRNA from 1 species
AGUGAACGCUGGCGGUAGGCCUAACACAUGCAAGUCGAACGGCAGCACAGUAAGAGCUUGCUCUUACGGGUGGCGAGUGGCGGACGGGUGAGGAAUACAUCGGAAUCUACUUUUUCGUGGGGGAUAACGUAGGGAAACUUACGCUAAUACCGCAUACGACCUACGGGUGAAAGCAGGGGAUCUUCGGACCUUGCGCGAUUGAAUGAGCCGAUGUCGGAUUAGCUAGUUGGGGGGGUAAAGGCCCACCAAGGCGACGAUCCGUAGCUGGUCUGAGAGGCUGGUCAGCCACACUGGAACUGAGACACGGUCCUGACUCCUACGGGAGGCAGCAGUGGGGAAUAUUGGACAAUGGGCGCAAGCCUGAUCCAGCCAUACCGCGUGGGUGAAGAAGGCCUUCGGGUUGUAAAGCCCUUUUGUUGGGAAAGAAAAGCAGCAGGUUAAUACCCCGCUGUUCUGACGGUACCCAAAGAAUAAGCACCGGCUAACUUCGUG